CAGAAAUUUCUAACGAAACCAAUAUCACUGCCGCAGACCGAAACUCAACAACAGAAAGAAUCGUCAUACCUAGUGCAGUGGCUGGCGCCUUGUUUAUCGCCAUUGUCGUUGUGAUCGCAGUGAUGUGGCGUCGCUCUCGGAGAAGAAGGCGGAGACUUAUGGACGAUGGUUCUAAUGACGAUAAGUGCAGUAUUAGGAUUCCUCGACCUCAGACCUGGGACACGGCGAACUUUAGAGACGAUAAAACAUGGAAGAGUUACACAGUGUCGUACCCGGAACUCUUCCCUUACAUUUUCUACAACAACGGUUUCCAAGAUUCGAAACACGCGUAAUAGACAGGGAGAUAACUCAUGGCUUUUGAAUUUGAUGUUAGCCUUUGGUUUUUCCCUUUGUUUUCAGCACCAAAGAAUGUUUUCACGCGUUCUUUUUUCUCCUUUCAACAACGUCAGCAGGAAAUUUGUUUAUAUUAAAACUUGACAAAUAUAUGCAUUAUCCUUAUUCCAUGUGAGCACAAGAUGAUUCUAUCGUGUCACCUGAAACAGUGCUGUUGACGACAUCUUGAUAGGCUUAUAGGUCCGAGUAAGCCUAAACAGCGCCAGGUAUGUCGUAAAGGAUACAAAGGUCAAGCUUGUCUAGUGGUGGCAGUGACAUAACGUGGGUGGAGAGAGCCGGACAUCCACUGUAAGGAGUAUAUGUCCGACUUGGAAUAAGUUGAGGCCUGGGUUAUUUCCCCUUUCACUUUUAAAAUACAGUCAGUACAUAGAUUAGUUUUGUCCUACCACUCUCGAUUCACGCAAAACAUUGUUGUGCAAAUUUGGUAAAGCAUGUAUGCGUGCGUGUAUGUAUGUAUCCUUGGGUUUUGACAUCAUGCUUAACAGUUUUGUCAGUUAGAAUGAAGAGUCAUUAGGUGUGUGCCCAUAUAGGCCUACUGUGUGUUCUUGUGGCAGGGCCAGUUCAUGUUGCCAAAAUGCUAAUCGGUAAAUUAUGGUAAGGUAUUGAUUGUCGAUCACAUCAUAUAUCAAUUUCACUUUAAUCUGACGUACAUGAGACAAUGUUGAUAUAUAAGACAUCAGAACUUCUAAUGGCUAACGUUUUCCGUCUGAUGUACGUAAAGUCAAAUGUGCUGUGCAUCCAUGUCAGAAUUAUUAUGGUUGUUUUUUGUGGUGGUCGCUAUUCUUUAAAUUGAACAGAGAGCCAGUCGCUAAAGCUGACUUAAUUAUUAAAGUAGUAUUUCAGAAAUGUUCUAAAAGUAUAUUUAAAAUUCUACACCGCUUAUCAACAAAAUAAAUAGUAAAGAAUAGUCAGUACCUAGCCAUUCAUUUGGUGACGUCAUUUUGGCAUGUUAUAGCUGUCUAGAGUGACUUCACAGAACCUAGAAGCUCUCCCCAACCACAGGUAUUACAGGUAGCUGAUAAAUGUGUGGCUCAAAAUGCACCAGUUUAACACUUUGACUAACCGCAAAAUCCAAUUUCUUGCUCCGUUAUCUGUCUAUCCACAAAAAGAAACCACACUGACAAUUGAGAGGUUAAAAGGGUUUUUGACUCAUCAGCCAAUUAUCACGUGACUUUUCUUUAUCCCAUGCAAUUGGAGAAGAUGAUGAUGAUAGCAAAAUGCUGUUUGCCAUUUCUUAAAAAAAAUGACUUUGUAGGAAGAGCUGUCAAAGCUAGUAAAAAAUAAAUCUACGA